AUUGAACGCUGGCGGCAGGCCUAACACAUGCAAGUCGAACGGUAACAGGAAGCAGCUUGCUGCUUCGCUGACGAGUGGCGGACGGGUGAGUAAUGUCUGGGAAGCUGCCUGAUGGAGGGGGAUAACUACUGGAAACGGUAGCUAAUACCGCAUAAUGUCGCAAGACCAAAGAGGGGGACCUUCGGGCCUCUUGCCAUCGGAUGUGCCCAGAUGGGAUUAGCUUGUUGGUGGGGUAACGGCUCACCAAGGCGACGAUCCCUAGCUGGUCUGAGAGGAUGACCAGCCACACUGGGACUGAGACACGGUCCAGACUCCUACGGGAGGCAGCAGUGGGGAAUAUUGCACAAUGGGCGCAAGCCUGAUGUAGCCAUGCCGCGUGUAUGAAGAAGGCCUUCGGGUUGUAAAGUACUUUCAGCGGGGAGGAAGGGAGUAAAGUUAAUACCUUUGCUCAUUGACGUUACCCGCAGAAGAAGCACCGGCUAACUCCGUG
rnacentral:rRNA from 1 species